rnacentral:rRNA from 1 species
UGGGGAAUAUUGGACAAUGGGCGCAAGCCUGAUCCAGCCAUGCCGCGUGAGUGAUGAAGGCCCUAGGGUUGUAAAGCUCUUUCACCGGUGAAGAUAAUGACGGUAACCGGAGAAGAAGCCCCGGCUAACUUCGUGCCAGCAGCCGCGGUAAUACGAAGGGGGCUAGCGUUGUUCGGAUUUACUGGGCGUAAAGCGCACGUAGGCGGACUAUUAAGUCAGGGGUGAAAUCCCGGGGCUCAACCCCGGAACUGCCUUUGAUACUGGUAGUCUUGAGUUCGAGAGAGUGGAGUGGAAUUCCGAGUGUAGAGGUAAAAUUCGUAGAUAUUCGGAGGAACAACAGUGGCGAAGGCGGCUCACUGGCUCGAUACUGACGCAGAGGUGCGAAAGCGUGGGGAGCAAACAGG